UACGGGGGGGGCAAGCGUUGUUCGGAAUCACUGGGCGUAAAGCGCACGUAGGCGGCUUCUUAAGUCAGGGGUGAAAUCCUGGAGCUCAACUCCAGAACUGCCUUUGAUACUGAGAAGCUUGAGUCCGGGAGAGGUGAGUGGAACUGCGAGUGUAGAGGUGAAAUUCGUAGAUAUUCGCAAGAACACCAGUGGCGAAGGCGGCUCACUGGCCCGAUACUGACGCUGAGGCACGAAAGCGUGGGGAGCAAACAGG
rnacentral:rRNA from 1 species